ACAGACACCCCGAGACAGCUCAGCCACAGAGUACUUCUGUUAUACCUACUCUGGCCAAAUUCCCGUGGUUCAUUCUCUCUCUCAUUCUCUCUCUCUCGCU